UACGGAGGGGGCUAGCGUUGUUCGGAAUUACUGGGCGUAAAGCGCACGUAGGCGGCUUUGCAAGUCAGAGGUGAAAGCCCGGGGCUCAACCCCGGAAUUGCCUUUGAGACUGCAUCGCUAGAAUUGUGGAGAGGUAAGUGGAAUUCCGAGUGUAGAGGUGAAAUUCGUAGAUAUUCGGAAGAACACCAGUGGCGAAGGCGACUGACGGGACACAGAGUGACGCUGAGGGGCGAAAGCGUGGGGAGCAAACAGG
rnacentral:rRNA from 1 species